rnacentral:lncRNA from 1 species
AGUAACAACAAGAAAAUUGGUGUAAGUUGCGAUAGCAGAAUUCUCGUCGAAAAAUUUCAGCAACUUACGAUGAAAUUUGCAGCAAUAUAGGAACGAAAUUUUUUUUUUUUUUUGGAUUUUCGAAUAGGGAUAACUAAAUUGCAGCAGCAGUAAGGUAGGAAACCAGAACCUGUUGCAAUUCAUAGGGAGAUCAAAGGAUGAUCUGCGGUGGUGGAGAUGACAGUGGAAUUUGGCGACGAUCUUUUAAGCAAUUGUGGGAAUUGCUUUGGGCUGUUGUGGAGGGUUGAUGGAUGGCAAUGGAAGGGCAGCGAGAUGCCAAGAAUGCUGCUCUGAUACCUGGUGUUAGAACCCUUGCAGAUUCUAAAUUUGGGGUUGAUCUCUUUAGGGGAUCGACCUCCUUGGAACUCUAUAGGGGUUCCUCCCUCCAAGUUGCUGCUCAAAGGCUGCAGAAAAGAUUCAUCUAUUGCUUAAGAAAAGAGAAGGAAUACAUGGUUAUUUAUAGGGCUUCUAAACCCUAACUCCUAAUAUGACUCCUACUUAAGACUCCUAUUCCCUUACAACUCCUAAUUCUUGUCUAAGAAAAAACCUCCUAACAGAAUGUCCCUCUCAAUUAGGACUCUCCUAGUUAGAGUCCUAAUAGAGUGUCCCUCUCAAUUAGGACUCUCCUAGCUAGAGUCCUAACAACACCUUCCUCUGAUAUGAUAUGCCCAAGAUAUUCCACCUUCUUUUGAAGAGAGCAAAAAUUCAUAGUGGUUGUUGUGUGUUCAAAAGGUGGUUUUCGGUAUGUCUUCUUCGCAUACUCGUGUUUGAUGAUACUCGGAUCGAAGGUCCAACUUUGUGAAGAUUUGUGCUCCCUUUCAUCUAGCAAUUCAUCUACUAUUGGAAUAGGGUAUUUAUCCUUGAUGGUUAUGCCAUUGAGAGCUCGGUAGUCAACACAUAAUCGCCAUAUUCCGUCCUUUCAUAUGUGGAGCACCGGUAAAGAGUAGGGGCUGCAACAUGGCCGAAUAACUCCUAUUUCGAGCAUCUCUUUUACAAUCCAUUGUAUUUCAUCCUUUUGGAGAUGUGGAUACUGAUAUGGUUGAGCAUUUGCUAGAGGUUUGCCUGGAAGAAUCGUUAUAAAAUAAUCAUGCCAGCGGGUAAGAGGUAGGUUGUACGGUUCGUCAAUUAUAUCUGAAAAUUCAGCAAGCAAAGGAAGUAGAUUUGGAUCUUCAAAUUAUGUUGGCUCUUCCUUAGUUUGCUGCUCAAGUUGUACCAAAAAGCCAUUGCAUGCUUUACGCAAAACCUUCUCUAUUUGUUGUGUGCAAAUCAUCGUUACGUCGCCCCCACGUUUCCCAUGCAAUAUCACCUGUUUCUCCUUACUAUAAAAUUUCAUAAUUAGUUUCAUAAAAUUUCAAGAAAAAACACCUAAUGUUGUCAACCAUUUAAUUCUGAGCAUGACCUCAUGAUCAUCAAGAGGGAGAAGGAAGAAAUCUGCAAUUAUCUCUUGGUCCUGCAGCAAUAGUUUCUCCUGCGGGCGCCUACGAUCACACUUCAAAAUCCAUCUGUCGGUGACCUUAAUAUCAAACCUGCAGCGAUUCUCGAUAGGUAAUGCCAUUCGGAUAGCAACCUUACUAUUUAGGAUAUUAUUAGUUCUGCCCGUGUUGAUGAAAACAGUGAUCGGUUGUUGUUUGAGAAGGCCUCCAACUUUCAUCGUUUGCGGGUUUGAGUAGCCGGCUAGUGUAUGUACUGUAACUUCGGUCGGUUGUGGCUCUUCUUCUGCAUCUUCUUCUUUAUGUUCAAUGCUCUCUUCUGGAUGUUCAAUGACCUCUUCUUCUACUAGUUCAAUGAUAAAAAGUCUCCCUUUACUACAGCGAUACUCAUGGCUCCACGGCUUGUCGCAAUGCCAACAUAACCCCUUCGCAGAUCGCUCUUGAAGCUCUUCUCUUGUCAACCUUUUUGGUGCAGGGACUCGAUCAAUAGUAGGGGGGGCUAAGGGCUUUAGUAUUGCUGGUUGAGGAGUGACCCUAGUCCUUCAAGCUUCAUGGUUCAAUUGCUCCUCUUAAUGUCGUGCGAAAGAGAUGGCUGCCAUAAGCGUGUACGGUUGUCGCGCUUUAACUUCUCCUCGGAUCUCCAGCUUCAAGCCCUAAAUGAAGGUCCUCAAUAGUUGUUUUUUAGACUAAUCACGAGUUUGAUUAGAUAACCUUUCAAACCUAGUUUGGUACUCCUGAAUGGUGGAGGUUUGUCGUAUCUUUGCUAGUUGUUCGUCAAUAUUCUCGUAAUCGGUUGGUCUAAAGCGGAUCAGCAGUACUUCUUUGAAUUGUUGCCAUGAAAGGACUCCAUAAGUAUGUUCAAACCAGUCAAACCACUGUAUAGCAUCCCCUUCAAGAUUUAUAGCUGCAAUUUUCACCAUAGAUGCAUCCGCGGUUUUGUGGUACCGAAAAUAUCGCUCCACGCGCAAGAUCCAACCAAUCGGGUCUCGUUCUUCCCAUCUAGGGAAUUCCACCCUUAUGCAUGGAUAGUUGGGAUCGAUCAUAGAGCCUCCCCUCCCUUGGAAAUCAUCUCUUCGGGCUUGGUGCGAUUGGGCAAAGCUCUCUCCUUGAUGUGAUUUCUUUGAGCUAAGUGGUCUGCCCAAUCUGAGUUCGGUAAAGAGCGUCCGAAUCUUAUCCUCCAUUCGCGCCUCAAAGACAUCGAAUUUAGCAUUGAUUGCCUCCCUAGAUGCCAUAGUAUAUAUCAUCAAAUCUGUGAUGUUAAGAUCCCUCUUUUGUUGUUGGGUUAAAGGCAUGUAUAGGUUGAGAGAAGUGAUGGACGAAAGGGUUGGUGGAUUGGUGGAUUGGUGGAUCUAGGCUACGAUUUAGGCUUGUUUUGUGGCUAUUUUGGGUGCAGUUUGAGGGUGUGGUUUGGUAGAGUUUUAGGGCUGUGGAUAAAGUUUUAGAUCUAUGGUAGAUGGCAGCAAAGGUUUGAUAGAAAUCAGUGGAAGUUGCAGCAAGUAUGUGCUGUCUUGUAAGAGCAGAAUUGUCGUCAAAGAAACAGCGGUUUCUCGACGUAAUUUCCACCAAAAACUUGAGAGAAUUGAGGAGGGAAUUGAUAGCAAAAUCACAGUUUAUAUGACAGCAAGGAUAUCUAAUUUAAUCAAGAAAAUUUUGGCAGUAUAAUAGCAAGGAAAUUGGUGCAAGUUGCGAUUGCAGAAUUCUCGUCGAAAAAUUUCAGCGGACUACGAUGAAAAUUUGCAGCAACACAAAAUCGUUUUUAGAGAUGAAUUUCUUAAUAGAUCAAUCUUAGAUGGAAGCUAAGAUGACCUAUGAAGUGUAUCAGAAAUUUUAUUCAAAAAAGAUUACAAAUAGAUAGGUUAAGGCAACAAUAUGCGGCUGAAAUUUUCUACAGCACAGAUUUUUAAGUAUAGCAGAUUGGACAUAAAAGAUCAGUCAUUUAUAUUGAGAUUUUUUUUAUGAAACCAAAAGGAAAUCUGCUGUUAGGAAGUGCAAAGCUAUCAUAAAAAUUUUGUAGAGAUUUGGAUAGAAACAACAUAGUAUCAAGAUCAAAUAAACAGUGCUAUGCGGCUGAAAUUUUACAGUACAGAUUUUCAAGUAUAGCAGAUUAGACGUAAAUUAUUAAUGGUUUAUAUUGAGAAUUUUUUGACAAAACCAAAGGAAAUCUGCUGUUAGGAAAUGUCAAAGAUGUCAUAAAAAUUUUGUAGAGAUUUGGAUAGAAAAAACAUAGUAGCAAGAUCAAACAGACGGUGUCAUACGGUUGAAAUUCAGCAAUGUAUCUUUUGUCGUAGAGAUGAAAACUUUAUGACGAAAAGUUUAUGCAGCAAUAUAGGAAUAAUUUUUUUGAGAUUUUCAAAUAAGGAUAACUAAAUUGCAACAGCAGUAAGGUAGGAAACUAGAACCUAUUGCAAUUCACGGGGAGAUCAAAGGAUGAUCUGCGGUGGUGGAG